UACGUAGGGUGCAAGCGUUGUCCGGAAUUAUUGGGCGUAAAGAGCUCGUAGGCGGUUCGUCGCGUCGGCUGUGAAAUCCCGGAGCUCAACUCCGGGUCUGCAGUCGAUACGGGCGGACUCGAGUUCGGCAGGGGAGACUGGAAUUCCUGGUGUAGCGGUGAAAUGCGCAGAUAUCAGGAGAAACACCGGUGGCGAAGGCGGGUCUCUGGGCCGAUACUGACGCUGAGGAGCGAAAGCGUGGGGAGCGAACAGG
rnacentral:rRNA from 1 species